rnacentral:lncRNA from 1 species
CUGAAACGAACCUGGUGAAUGCUUCACUCCCAACCUCCCAGUGCCUUCAGAGGUGGAACCGUUUCUCUGUAUAAAACUUGUAAAAAUCUAGCCCGUUGAUCCUGCAGACCGGCAAGGAUAUACAUAUAUUAAACUCUUGUAUUUCGGCUGUAUAUCGGCGACCCUUUCUUUCAAAUUUGUAAAGGAAAAAUUCUCUCCUUUUAAUAGAAGAAUGUUGCAGGGCUAAGGCUAACUCCAACGCAGACGAUCCAUUUUGUCCGUCCGUUUGAGUCCGCAUGAACAAAAACGCGGUCAAUGCGUCGCUAACGCAAAUGGAUGGGUGUCUGGUUUUUUUUUUGGGGGGGGGGGGGGGGGGGUUUGGCUGUACAGAUUUGGCCUUAGGAUUGCGUCGGCAAGCGCGACGCCCUCGCUUGUCCUCGCCCUUUGCCCGUCAUGGCACAACGGCCAUUCUUGCCCAUCCCCUUCCACAAUAUACACCCUGACCUUGCCGCAUCCAAUUCCGGCGACCACAUCUAGGUGCUAUCGCCUCAUCCACCAACUUCACCACCGGCAUUGCAUCCAUUGAGGCUGUAGCUGCUACUUGUCAGAGCACGAGAAGGCACACCUGCCAAGGGUUGUCAAAGGGCGCAAGUUUUGACAGGCCUGCUGCCCUUCAUCAGUAGCAACUUGACCACACUCGUAAGGUGUUCGACCUUUUGCCCAUUGUUGAUAGCUUGGAUGAGUUCUUCUACAAUAACAUCAUAUGUUCAUCGGACGAUGAGGAUUUUGUGGUUGCUACUAUGGCGGUCAAUGAGCAUAUUUCUAGGAUGCGACCAAUGUUUAGGGGGUCGAUCCCGGGCCACGCUCCGGCGUUGAAUGUAACAAAGAGAGCGACCAUUGCCUAUUCUAUAUCGAUUAUUUCCUGUGCACGUCCUUAUUCUUUAAUGCCAAGCUUUUCCGACGAACGCUUUCAGAUGAUGAGACAUGUGUUCAAUUGUAUUCGGAAGGGAAUGGUGGACUAUGAUGAUUACUUUAGAUGCAAGAAUGAUGUCCUCGCUAGGGUUGGCUUCUCCACUUAUCAGAAAUAUACUGCAGCUAUUCGGAUGUUGACAUACAAAAUUUCCGGUGAUCUUGUGGAUGAGUAUGUCCGUAUAAGUGAGUCUACAUGCCUUGCAUAAUUUACAAGUUAUGCAAAAGUUAUGAUUAGAGUGUUUGGUUCGGAGUAUCUGACAGAACCAAGUGCUGCAGAUAUAGCCUGAUUGUUGGCAAUGCAAACAGAAAAAAAUAUCAAAGGGUUGACCCAAGGGAGCAUGAUGAUGCCCAUAAAAGAGAGAAUUCCAGUACCAUACUAAAGUAUACACAAGUGUCCCAAAGACUUUGUGUACUGUAUCACUAAAACAUGACUCAUGUAGCAUUGCCAUAUUACAACAGUUUAUUGGGCUGACAGGACAAAAGCAUCCAUGAAUAUAUAUUUUUCUAGCCUCACUUCUACUCCCUUCGUUCCUAAGUACUCCCUCCAUCCAAAAAUAUUUGUCGGAUGAAUGGAUGUAUCUAGAUGUAUUUUAGUUCUAGAUAUAUCCAUUUUAAUCUAUUUUUUGCGACAAGUAAUUACGGACGGAGGGAGUAUAAGUCUUUUUAGAGAUUUCACUAGGGGACUAUAUAUGGAGCAAAAUGAGUAAAUCUAUGUGUAUAUACAUCCGUGUAUAGUCUCCUAGUGAAACCUUUUAAAAACUUAUAUUUAGAAACGGAGGGAGUACAAGUGAAAGCUCGCUCAUUUGGAACCAAAGGAAUUUACUUUGUCUUCCUUGGCCUUGGAAACCUUGGCCUUUUCCUCUUAGGCUUCUUAGCAAGUUUUUUUCCUCGCUCCUCUUGAGCAACCUUACUAAAAGAGAUAGUAAGAUUCUUAAGCACUUUAUUCUGUGUAAUAGGAGAAAUAGCAUUAAAUGAUAAACAUUUUGGGAUAAUUUUUCUUUUGUAACCAUCAUUGUCUAUCUUAAUCUUGUCAUUCUUACCUCAUUUCAACUAAAGGAGUUUCACCCUCCUUUUCUUAGUAUUCUCUUCACCAAAAGGCGACAGAAUCACAUUGGCAGAGGAAUCUUGGGGCCUUAGUGGUAGAGCCACACCACUAGCAGCAGUAUAAAUAGGAGGGGGCUCUCCAUUUAUAUCACUCUUCACCUAUGUAGAGUCUUGAGUCACUUGUGUAGCUAGCUUACAGGCAGGAGUCUGCGAAAUAGAGCACUUAUCAGGAAUAUAGAACAAAAUGGUCUCCUCAUUUAAUUUGUUUCCGGUCAUAAGUUUUCAUAAAGAAGAUUUGAGCAAACAAAGAAAAGAAGCCACUCCUAGCCGACGAAGACACAACCGUUGACCGCACACAAGGAAAGAUGUACCUCCGAGCCAGCAAGGACGCAACCAUCGAACACUCCUCAAGUAGCCGAAUGCCCGGCCGUCAAAGAUGCCUCUCCCAAUAACCAAGCUUAGCAUCUAUAACCGGAUUUAGCAAAUCCACCCCCUAUACGUCCACGGACAUGUCCGCGGGCGCAUCCGGACGACCCCUCAUAUCAAAUAGUGUGCAUCCACAUAUCUUAAAUCUAAACUCUUAAAUACAUGCAAAUUCAUGUACGCCCAUCAUACACAUCAAUGUCACACGUAAAUAGCAAGUGUUUGGUAGCGAAAAUACAUAGUUCUUACAUAAAUUUUAUUUAAAGUGCACAACUCAAUCAUCACUUCAUCAGCUCUUUGAUUUUCAUUAUGGGUCCACAUAUGCCUCAUAAGAUCAUUAAGUAGUUGUGCAUGCACCUGAUGAUCUCGAAGAUUCCGAUGCAUAUGAAGAAAGUUCAUAAGUUGGUUUGCGUCUUGAUCUUUCGGGAUUUUAACUUGUUCUCCGGGCGCUUCAAAAUUAUUGGUUUGGGUAACACCAACACCCUCAUCCUCAACAAACAUGCUGUGCAAAGUAACACAACAUGUUUCUGAUUCUCACAUCAUCGCAACUCAACGAACAAUUCCCCAACAAGCUUGAAGCACUCCGAAUGCCAUCUCCACAUCCUUCCUAGAUGUUUCCUACAAUGUUGCAAAUUGGUUUUGUUUCUUGUCGUGUGAUUCAAAAAUGGUCUUCACAAACGCCGCCCAAUGAGGAUAGAUGCCAUCAUCAAGAUAGUAUCCCAUGUUAUAGUCACGACCAUUGACAGUGUAGUUGCACGGUGACGGUUCCCCAUUAAAAAGCCUCAUGAACACCGGAGACCGUUGAAGCACGUUGAUGUCGUUGUGAAAUCCCAACAUUCCAAAGAAAGCAUGCAAAAUCCAUAAGUCAUGUGAUGCUACUUCUUCCAGUAUGAUGGUGGCCUCUUUGAUGUGACCUUGAUACAUUCCUCGCAAAUCUUUUGAGCAUUUAUUCCAUUGUCAAUGCAUACAAUCAAUUGAUCUGAGCAUUCCUGGAAACCCUCUGACCUCUCUAAUAGCCAACAACUUUUCUGUGUCCUACACAUUUCGUUCUCACAUAGACUCUUCUCCAAAUACCCGCACGACGGCGCGGGCAAACUUGUGAGUUGUCUUCAUGUAUGUGCUCUCCCCCUCACACGGGCCAUCUCACCAACGGAAUAUGUGGCAAUACCAAGUGCAAGCAUCCUCACAACAACUAUGCAUUUUUGUCUAUCCCAAAAAGAAAGUUGGCCAUAACAAUCCUUUUUGAGCUUGAAGUAGUCAUCAUAAGCUUCCACUCCCUCCACAAUGUGCAAAAACAAUGGUUUUCGCAUACGAAAAAGACGACGAAACCAUGGAUCAUCCAAAAAAGUUGGGUCUGGAGAAAAGUAGUCCUUCUACAGUAGUCGUGUGUUGGAGAUCCUAUCCCAAUUGAUCACUCUUCUUCCUUUGAUUGAGCCAUUGAAAUUGAGAAUAUGCUCCACCUGCCAGUCCAUUUCCACCUACAUGCUUAUGAGCAUGAUCAUGUCCACUUAUUUGUCCGAAUUCGGUGAAUUGAAGAACUAAUCUUGAAUCAUUUGAUCAAACUCCAUUGGUCUAUACUCCUCAUCUGAUGAAGCAUCGAAAUCCACCGUUUCACUAAAAAUCACAAGAAAUUGGGUUGGACAAUGUGUCGAACACAUAGAAUGCAAGGGGCAGCCCGAGAGUUGGCGUCCGGGCCGGCGACGACAUCCCUGGUUGCGAGGAUGGGAGAGAGGAGUGAUGUGUGAGUGUUGUCAGCACGGAUGCUCGGAACGGGUGUGGAGUGCGUGCAGCGGAGAGACGGUUGACGAGGAGGAGCAAGAAGAGAAGAGAGCAAAUGGGGUGGAGGAACUACUAGGGAAAAGCCUAGCAGUAGCGCGGGUUUUAGGCGUAUCAGUAGCGCAGGCUCCCAGCUACUGAUACGGCACUACAAACCUUUAGCAGUAGCGCGGGUCCGCCUGCGCUACACCUAAAAUGUAGCAGUAGCGGGUCUUGGCCCGCGCUACUGCUAUACAUGCGUAGAGGUAGCGAGCUUUACAUAAACGCGUUACUGCUAUACAUGUGUAGCCGUAGCGAGCUUUACUAAGCCGCGCUACUGGUAGGGGUUUCUGAUUUUUUAUGCAUAUUUGUUUUGUAUUUGAACAAGCUUUAUACAAUAAUCUUUAGCACAUACAAAUGUCAUCAUCAUACACAUACAAAUGUAAUCAUAGCAUAUACAUACAAAUAGUCUCAUCAAAUCAUGUCAUCAUCAUAAUCAUCAUCCAACACAAAGUGGUCUCUCGUCAUCAUCUUGAAAAUAGCGAUACAAGUCUCGAAUACUUGCAACUACAUCGUCAUCCAUCUAAACAAUGAUAUACGCGAGAAGAGCUAUCACUAUGAGUGAGAGCGGAACUAUGCAGUAUAUGAGGCGGUGGUUAUGAGUCCUCUCUCCGCUAGCAUGUACCUCAAGUAACUAGUUUCUGCUUCUUGUCUGCUUUUGAAGCCUUUAUGGCUGGCGCCCCAGACCCCGUCCACUUGCGCCUGACACUCAGUCCACUCGUCACACACUCCCAGAACCUUCCCUUUGUACAUGACAUAACACUGCUUCUUCGCCAUCAAGAAUCUAGGUACCUGUUAGAGAUGCAUCUUCAUCAAGAGAAUGGACAAUCAUAUGCAACAAAAUAUACUUGAGCAACACGAAAAAGAAAGGGUUAGCAACUAGAUGCAACAUAUAGUAACAUAUAAAUAAUCAACGCAGUUUCAUCGUACGCAAACUAAUUAACUAGAGGUACGCAUGUCAUCGUACCCAAACUAACAAAGUAGUGUUACGCAAGUUCGUCUGGGACCGUGGACAUCACAAAUUUUCAUCGCUACAAAAACUAUACAAGUUCAACCGACACAUAUCAUCAUCAUCGGCAUCGUAAAUCACUAGAAGUUCCAUCCUUCCAAAUAAUUGAGGUUGCACCCUAGCUUCUUGAACGACGUGAGGUCCUGACGUUGCAUGCCUAUGCGAGUUCGGAUGUCAGCUCGCGAUAUAGGGCCGUGGUGGAACAUCCCCUUCUCUUCGACGACUUCUUUCAUGAUGAUCGUCGCAAUGUCCCUCUGGAUGCGAAGGAAGUCAUCUCUAAGUUUAUAAUCCGCUUCUCCAUGAGAUUCUACCCACUUGCGGAUAUGAUCAUCAUUUCUGCCUAUCAUGCGAAGCUUUUGGUGAUCCCUUUUGAACUCCAUCAUGAGAUGUAGGAGGUAGAAUCCAUCGUUCUUGCUUGGUUUUGGGACAUGGAUGUAGCAGAAGUUAGUUUUAUGCGGGAAACCCGUCUUCUUGUUCCUUUGUCUCCUGAUCUGCAGGUAGCCACCCCUCAAGCUGAAGCCUUGGAGAGUGUCAUCUAUAAUAUUCAUUACGUGGGUGUAGUCCGUCUUCUCGUAGUUUCUGGUAGGAUCAAAAUACACGGCGUGGGAGAAUCGCGGGUAAAGAACGAUAAGGACAACGCACCCGUUGCUGUGGGGAAAACACCUCAAAUUAUUCUCCAUAUGAGCAAGAAGGAAUGAUUGAAAUGUAUGAAAGGGUUGUCCGACACUGACUUGCUUUGGAUGAUAAGGCAGGAGGACAAUUUCCUUGUCCUUAUUUUCUACCAUGAAUUUUUCGAGGUACUCCGUAGCAAUUUUAUGCUCAAAGUCGCCGAGAGUCAAGAAGGACUCGUGCAUGUAGUAUGGAUCCGCCACACAGAUUUGCGAGACUUCUUCUCACUUCAUGAUGAAGCUCAUAUGUAGCGCAAAAAGGCGGAUGAUUGUACAAUCGAGCCGCCUUGUCAUAAACAUCUCGAAGAUAUGCUCAAAUCGCAGGAAGAACACCUCCGCGGGUCGUGUGUCGACGUAGCACUUCCCGUCAAGCACACGAGCCGCGUAUGUCUGAUAUCCAGGAUCCUUCGAGGCUAGUAGUCUUUUCUCAGUCGACAAUACAUGGUCAUGCAGUCUCCUGAGAUCCCCUGAUAUUGCCUCCAGCGGUUUCGACGGUAGCAUCGGCUCGCUCAUCACAUGGAACAUGGCCGCACCUUUGACAGGUACACGCUCUUCAAAAUCCGUCGUCUGGCUACUAUGUGCUCUGACUUGUUUGUAGGCAGGAGAGCUUCUCUUCCCCGGUCUCUUCCUCUCCUUUUUCUUGGGCUGACCUUCUAGACCCUUCCUUAACCCUUGUGUGACAUCCCGAUGCCGACGUUCCAGAAGAUUCCCCCUUUAUUCCGUUUUCGUCGUGUGGCUUAUUUUAUUUGUGGCAUCGUCAUCGCAUAAUUCGCAUCAUAUGCAUUGCAUCGGCAUCUCCGUUGCCGCCAAUUUUCAAACUUGCAUCCGUUAGUAGUUGUCGGUUCUCGUCGUUGUCCGUUCUGAGCCCGACCGCACUCGCACGCGCCUGCGACAUCGUUCGAACCCUGUUUUUAAAGUGUGUUGAAAACUUUCUCUGAUCGAGGUGAAACUUGGCAUGCGGUCGUAUUUAGUUAUAGCUAGGCCGCCUGUCGAAUUUCUUCGCGAUCGGAGUUUGUCUGGUACCCGAACGGUCGACCGUAGNCAGGCCCGGAUCCGCGCCGCCGCCCGUUCUGCUCCCGUGCCCCGUGAUCCCGGGCUCCCCCCGUGCUCGAGCCAGCCGAGCUCAUCCCGGCCGCCGGUCACUAGCGCACCACCCUCGCCGGAGGCCCUCGCCGGCGCCGCCUCCCCGUGCGCCAGAGCCCUGCCGGCCCCGCCCUCCGACGGUCACCGUGAGCAGCCGGUGCCCCGAGCUGGGCCUCGAGCCCACGAAGGUAGUCCAUGUUCCCCCAUAUUUUGCGCGCGUGCGUGACUUAGUUAUAUGACGCCAAUGCCCAGUUUCGGCCCGGUAGACACAUUAGGCCCGUUAGCGUUUUUUUAGGUUUUCGUAUUUUAUUUAAAUUUCAGGAAAAUUUGCUUGUUUUUCAAACGCCCGUAGUUUAUUAACCGUUAGUCGGAUCGAGGCGUAUGUUAUAUAGUUUUGGGGUAGUUUUGCGAGUAGAACACGAUUUCACAACUUGCAUAUUUGUUUGGCAUUGUUUCACGUGUCGUAUGUCUAGUUUAGUGUGUUGUCUCGAUAGGUUUAUUGUCGUAGUUAUUUUUCGUGCGUGCCCGAAUAGCUCGAAUACCGUAAUAGAAAUGCCCAUGUUUUAGGAACUAAUUUUCCAUGUAUUUUAGAGCGGUCAUUUGUAUUUUUACGUGUAGGGAUUUGCCGCUAGUUUAUUUUCCCGUAUAUAGGUUAUUUUCUUGCAUUUACGUGUGGCAUUAUUUUUGGUUGCGCAACCCCACAUAUUUUAUAUGUUUUCGGGGUAGAAAAAUCCAUGGGAUUUUACUGUGCAAUUAGUUUUAGCUUUUGAGUAAGUUAGUUCGCGCCAUAUUUUGCCGUGAUGCCCUUUUGUUUAAUUCAUAGGAUUUAUUCCGUGUUUCGUUUGAUGGAGUUGUCAACUAGGGAGUUGUUCUUGGGUGUUUAGACUAGCCCCUGGUAUUUUUAGUUGCAAUAGAAAAGCAUGUUUAGGUGUGGUUUGCUUGCUCUCAAGUUGCUAGAAUAGUGCUGAUUUGGAGGAGCUGAAAUAUUUCUAAGUCUGGAAUCUGUUAUAUUUUGUUGUUGUCUUGUCUUGCUUGUGUCUUUUGAUCUGUAGCUCUUUUGAGGUUGGUCCAAUGGAGUUAGUUAUAAACCUUGUGUUUCUCUAGCAUGCUGUGAAAUUUCAUGCCCUUUGGAGUCCUGUAGCUUAUGGUUUUGCUGCUGUCAAUAUGGCUUCAGAUCGAAAACUGCACUUUCAUGAAGUGUAAUUUUCACUAAGUCUGAAAUAGUGUGUGAGAUGUCAUUUUGUGACUUCUUUCCCUAGUGAUCCAUGAUGCCAUGCUAGUUGUUGUUAGUUUUUUGUUGUAGUGCUUCUUGCCCUCUUUCGUGCCAUGCCUUGGUUGAUUAUGUUUGAGUUGAGUAGCUUGUAGUUGUGGGGUGUAGAAAAUGCUAUGUGGCUGAUUUUGUCAGAUUGUAGUGAUUUCUUGUUUUGCUCGUAUCUUUUGAUCCGUAGCUCCGAUUUGAUCGUGUCCUACAUGAAACUUGCUUAGAAUCUUGUGUAGAUUCAUUUUAUCUUGCUGGUUGUAUGUUUUGAAGUGCUCGUGACCGUCGUUGCACACAUAUUGCAUUCAUGCCAUCAUAUCUUGCGGUGCUUGUAUCUUUUGAACCGUAGCUCCGUUGGAGAUGUUCUUUAUGUGUACAUUGCUUGAAAUGACGCGUAGAAUCACGCGUAACCUAUUUUUUUUUGCUGUUUAACAACUAAUUAAAUGUGUUAGUUCAGAGCUGGACAGAAUUGUAAAUUAACUUGUGAGGUCGUUUCGGAGAUGCUAUAUGACAUUUCCGACCUCAUUUAAAAUGCCUAGAUAGGUAGUUUAAUUACGCUUCACCUCUUUCCAUGUUUAACCACAUUUAAUAUUGCCGUGUAACUAAUCGGGAUAGAACUAAAUAAUUAAACGUGGAGUUUCGUCAAUGUGCAACUCGUUGCAUAUUGAACUUCACUUAAUGUGUAGUGUUUGAUUGUGUGAUUUUUCAUGACCGUGACUUGCAUGUUUUUAGCUGCUCAUGCAUCAUAUGUGUUGUGCAUCGUGUGGUGUAUAUCGUGUGUUGAUUUGUGUUUCCGGUUUGCUUCGUCUCGAUAGAGUUCUGCAGCGUGUCGGAUUGUGAGGACCCGUUCGAAUACCUCGGUUCGUCUGCUUCACGGAGGCAUUCUUCUUCCAAGCGGGAUCUCAGGAAAGAUGACCAUUUCCCUAGAUACCAUUACUAUCAUUGCCAUGCUAGUUCUAUCGCUUCUAUCGAUUAUGUCUCGUUGCCUACCACAUGUUAAAUAUCAGCCUCUCAACAAUGCCAUGAAACCUUCAACCUGUUCAACCUAGCAAACCACUGAUUGGCUAUGAUACCGCUUGCUUAACCCUGUGUUAGCGUUGCUAGUUGCAGGUGCAUUGAUUCCAUGUGAAAACAUGGGUUCCUUGUUAUAACACCAUAUUUAAAUGCUAUUUAAUUUAAUGCACCUAUAUACUUGGUAAAAGGUGGAAGGCCCGGCCUUUCUAGCCUGGUGUUUUGUUCCACCUUUGCCCCCUUAGUUUCGGCUACCGGUGUUAUGUUCCAUAAAUGAGCGCUCGUAACACGAUCGGGGUUGUUAUGGGGACCCCCUUGAUAAUUCGUUUUAGAUUAAAGCUGGUCUGGCAAGGCCCAACUUUGGUACUACAUUUGCCUAAUCACCUAAUAAAAU